rnacentral:rRNA from 1 species
ACGGCGAGUGAAGCGGUAACAGCUCAAAUUUGAAAGCUAGCUCUUUUAGGGUUCGCAUUGUAAUUUGUAGAAGAUGCUUCGGGUGUGGCCCCGGUCUAAGUUCCUUGGAACAGGACGUCAUAGAGGGUGAGAAUCCCGUAUGUGACUGGGUGCUUUCGCUCAUGUGAAGCUCUUUCGACGAGUCGAGUUGUUUGGGAAUGCAGCUCAAAAUGGGUGGUAAAUUUCAUCUAAAGCUAAAUAUUGGCCAGAGACCGAUAGCGCACAAGUAGAGUGAUCGAAAGAUGAAAAGCACUUUGGAAAGAGAGUUAAACAGUACGUGAAAUUGUUGAAAGGGAAGCGCUUGCAACCAGACUUGCGCGCUGAUGAUCAUCCGGGCUUCUGUCCGGUGCACUCGUCUGCGCUCAGGCCAGCAUCGGUUUCGGUGGUGGGAUAAAGGCCUUGGGAAUGUAGCUCCUCUCGGGGAGUGUUAUAGCCCUCGGUGCAAUGCCGCCUAUCGGGACCGAGGACCGCGCUUCGGCUAGGAUGCUGGCGUAAUGGUUGUAAGCGACCCGUCUUGAAACACGGACCAAGGAGUCUAACAUCUAUGCGAGUGUUUGGGUGUCAAACCCAUACGCGUAAUGAAAGUGAACGGAGGUGAGAACCCUUAAGGGUGCAUCAUCGACCGGUCCUGAUGUCUUCGGAUGGAUCUGAGUAAGAGCAUAGCUGUUGGGACCCGAAAGAUGGUGAACUAUGCGUGAAUAGGGUGAAGCCAGAGGAAACUCUGGUGGAGGCUCGCAGCGGUUCUGACGUGCAA